AAGUCGUAACAAGGUUUCCGUAGGUGAAGUAUACGCUCGUUUGCCUACCGAAACUUUGCAGCAGCGACACUAAACAAUUGCUCCAGUCGGCCCCAUUAUGGGGUCCGGCGACGCCAUCAAUUUGCGCUGGGAGCUCCCUUUGGGGGGACGCGACCAGCAGCUCGUAAAAGAGUUCACAGAUCAAACAAUGGCGGCCACUUUCGUGGUUCAGAUAUGACCGGCCCCAGCCUAUAUGGUUGGCGAUUCUUGCGGAACCUGCGGAAGGAUCAUUACCGAGAGAGGGGCUUCGCGCUCCCGGGGGCUCCGGCCCCCAACUCUUCACCCACUGUCUAUCUACCUUUGUUGCUUUGGCAGGCCCCGGGGUGCUCCCCGCGCCGGCUAUUCGCCGGUGAGUGCCUGUCAGAAGCCCCAUUAAACUCUGUUUAUCAAUGAUGUCCGAGCGAAACUAAUAGAAAAAA
rnacentral:misc_RNA from 1 species